rnacentral:rRNA from 1 species
AGCUUGCUGGGUGAGAUUAGUGGCGAACGGGUGAGUAACACGUGAGUAACCUGCCCUUAACUCUGGGAUAAGCCUGGGAAACUGGGUCUAAUACCGGAUAGGAGCGUCCACCGCAUGGUGGGUGUUGGAAAGAUUUAUCGGUUUUGGAUGGACUCGCGGCCUAUCAGCUUGUUGGUGAGGUAAUGGCUCACCAAGGCGACGACGGGUAGCCGGCCUGAGAGGGUGACCGGCCACACUGGGACUGAGACACGGCCCAGACUCCUACGGGAGGCAGCAGUGGGGAAUAUUGCACAAUGGGCGAAAGCCUGAUGCAGCGACGCCGCGUGAGGGAUGACGGCCUUCGGGUUGUAAACCUCUUUCAGUAGGGAAGAAGCGAAAGUGACGGUACCUGCAGAAGAAGCACCGGCUAACUACGUGCCAGCAGCCGCGGUAAUACGUAGGGUGCGAGCGUUAUCCGGAAUUAUUGGGCGUAAAGAGCUCGUAGGCGGUUUGUCGCGUCUGUCGUGAAAGUCCGGGGCUUAACCCCGGAUCUGCGGUGGGUACGGGCAGACUAGAGUGCAGUAGGGGAGACUGGAAUUCCUGGUGUAGCGGUGGAAUGCGCAGAUAUCAGGAGGAACACCGAUGGCGAAGGCAGGUCUCUGGGCUGUAACUGACGCUGAGGAGCGAAAGCAUGGGGAGCGAACAGGAUUAGAUACCCUGGUAGUCCAUGCCGUAAACGUUGGGCACUAGGUGUGGGGACCAUUCCACGGUUUCCGCGCCGCAGCUAACGCAUUAAGUGCCCCGCCUGGGGAGUACGGCCGCAAGGCUAAAACUCAAAGGAAUUGACGGGGGCCCGCACAAGCGGCGGAGCAUGCGGAUUAAUUCGAUGCAACGCGAAGAACCUUACCAAGGGCUUGACAUGUUCUCGAUCGCCGUAGAGAUACGGUUUCCCCUUUGGGGUGGGUUCACAGGUGGUGCAUGGUUGUCGUCAGCUCGUGUCGUGAGAUGUUGGGUUAAGUCCCGCAACGAGCGCAACCCUCGUUCCAUGUUGCCAGCACGUCGUGGUGGGGACUCAUGGGAGACUGCCGGGGUCAACUCGGAGGAAGGUGAGGACGACGUCAAAUCAUCAUGCCCCUUAUGUCUUGGGCUUCACGCAUGCUACAAUGGCCGGUACAAUGGGUUGCGAUACUGUGAGGUGGAGCUAAUCCCAAAAAGCCGGUCUCAGUUCGGAUUGGGGUCUGCAACUCGACCCCAUGAAGUCGGAGUCGCUAGUAAUCGCAGAUCAGCAACGCUGCGGUGAAUACGUUCCCGGGCCUUGUACACACCGCCCGUCAAGUCACGAAAGUUGGUAACACCCGAAGC